CUCAGUGGCACUCAAACACACACAUUCUACCCUACUGCAGCUUUAGAAACAUAGAAAUUAGGUGCAGGAGUAGGCCAUUCGGCCCUUCGAGCCUGCACCGCCAUUCGAUAUGAUCAUGGCUGAUCAUCCAACUCAGUAUCCCGUACCUGCCUUCUCUCCAUACCCCCUGAUCCCCUUAGCCACAAGGGCCACAUCUAACUCCCUCUUAAAUAUAGCCAAUGAACUGGCCUCAACUACCCUCUGUGGCAGAGAGUUCCAGAGAUUCACCACUCUCUGUGUGAAAAAAGUUCUUCUCAUCUCGGUUUUAAAGGAUUUCCCCCUUAUCCUUAAGCUGUGACCCCUUUACGUACGCAUUCAAACAACCCCAAAAUUGGAAGGGCAGAAUCCAUAACGUUUUGGUUCAGGAGAGCAGGCAAGAGUCUUUUUUUGUGCAAAAUCUGACUGUUACCCUGUAAGUACAGGAGUCUCAAAUUCUGCCUUGUCCAAAACUGAACAGAGAAUGGUCACUUGGCAACAAGGAUGCCCUCCGUACUGAAAUGGCCUUUUUUUUUGUUAAUUCCACAAUCCUGUCAAUAGUCCGAAAGGUGGCUUUGCCAGGAAUAUAGGGCAUAGUUGUCUUGGAGCAACAAAACGAGCCACUGCGUGCCAAGGUCAGUUUAAAGGGUACUGUUUCCUCUCAGGCACGCUUCUGCAAAAAAAAGUGAAAUCAUUGCCGUCUCUUUGUUAUCCGAGUAACCGAGUUCGUCAAAUCCCAGAUGGAAAAGAAGACUGGAUGGUGGGGAUCCUUUAUGCAAAUGAUGUCAAAGUCACCAGGCCAGCAAUCGGAGCACUCCUCUCUGGUGACCCCUGGCAAGGAUUCACCCGCUCUGCAGUGCCUCAUGUGGAUACUUUCGAUGGAGGGGAGGGCUGUGCCUGUGAUGGACCAGGCUGAGCUAAUCCUUGCGUUCCUGUGCAUUGGAAUUGCUGUAUCAGGCCAUUAUCCAAUCAGUCAGGAUUCUUUCUACAGUACAUCUGUAGAUGUUUGUUAGAGUAUUCAGAGCUGGCGUGCGUCUAAGGUCCCUGACAAGAUGCGAGCCAAGUGGAGGAAGAAGCGUAUGCACAGAUUGAAGCGUAAAAGAUGAAAGAUGAGGCAGAGGUCCAGGUGAACUGCCGAUGAUGCAGUGCUGAUCAGACUAUGUUGAAUCUUCCUUGGCAACUGGACUCUGGACAUUUCUGCUUACAAUUGUUCCUCUAAGAUCAACAAUUUAUGUAGAUGUUUUGGAUGCCGGUCAUGAAAGAUGCGGAACAUUGGACUGUUAUAGUGCUGUUCCAUGAUGUAUAUUAGUUACAAAAUAAAGUGUAAACUAAAAAAAAAAUUAAAAAAAUUCAGAGACAUAGUGAAUCUCUUUAAACUUCCAAGAAAUUAGAUGCCUUGGUUUACCUUCUUUGUGAUUAAUCUAUAUGCUGGGCCCAGGACAGGCCAUCUGAGAUGUUAACGCCCAGGAAUUUGAAACUGCAAACUAGCUCCACCACCGACCCAGUGAUUAAAAACUGGUGCAUUGU